UCCAUGACUAGAGGAGCUCAGAUAUCACAUGAGCAACUAUGUGAUAGAGCUUCUCCAUUUUCGUCCUCAGCUAAUAGAGCUCCGACAUCUCGUAUCAAUGAACCGUUUUGUCCACCGCGCAACGAUAAAAAGUUUGCGCCGUCAAGUACAGUUAAUGACCCUCAAACUCCCACAGAACGCACAGAGACUCGGCAUUGCGAUGAAGUGGUUGAUCAUCAAUUAGAGGAUGAGGAUUACGACCCGGAGGCGGAUGAAGUGCUGUCGUUUGAUGACCACAUUGAUGACUUAUUUGCUGUCCAGGAAGCUGAAGGUCAGAACAAUGACGAUAAACGCAAAGAAUGUUACUAUCAUUGAGGACGGCGUGUGUAAAGGGUCUAAGCUGAGCGUGAAGGAGGCUAUAGCACUUCCUCCAAUACAAAUAUAAUACUCCCAUUUAAUAGAGAUAUACAAGAAUUGGUCAGGCAGCUGGUUUAUUCAGUGGUUUUGUAGGGAGUUUGGGUGUUGACUAUUUCCAGUUUUUCAUAUGUGAAGAGACCUGGAAGCACGUGAACAAAGUUAAGAAAGAACAUGCAUACUACAUGAUUAAGUGAGUCUUUCAUUAUGAGGAUGAUGUCGGAGGAAAAAUAAAGCGCGAAAUUAUGUAAAGAAUAGGAAAGAACUGGAAAGAUACAAGACACAAUUUGUAUCAUAAGUGUUACAAAGAAUAGAAAAAAAUGAAUGAAAACGGUUCCUUGAAUAUUGCCAGAAGGAAGAA